GGAUUGAACUUCUUUUUGGUGAGUUUGAUCUUCUUCAAUUUUUUGUGCUUGUUUUCAAUUUAAUUGUUAAGUAGUGUGAAAAUUUUGAAUCAAAAUCAAUGGUUCAUUUAAUUGUUAUUGAGGUCUAAAUGUGCUAUAGGAAUUACUUGGAAUUAAUUAGGAUUUGGUUAGGAUUUAGGAUUUGGUUUAUAAUUUGGUUUGGUUAAGAUUUAGGAUUUGGUUUAGAUUAAGGUUGAGUUAAGGUUUAGGAUUUGGUUUGGUUAAGGUUUAAGAUUUGGUUUAGAUUAGGAUUUGGUUAGGAUUAGGAUUUGGUAAGGACUUAUUUAAGAUUUGUCUAGGAUUUGUCUAGGAUUUGUCUAAGGUUUGUUUAAGAUUUGGUUAGGAUUUUUUUAAAAUUUGAUUAGGAUUCAAUAAGGUUUGAUUAAGAUUUGUUUAGAGUUUGUUUAGGAUUUGGUUAGGACUUAUUUAGGAUUUGUCUAAUCUUUGAUUAAGAUUUAUUUAGGACUUAUUUAGGAUUUGAUUAGGAUUUGGUUAAAAUUUUUUUGAACUUUGAUUAGGAUUUAUCUAAGAUUUGAUUAGAUUUUGACUAAUGUUUGAUUAGAUUUUGACUAAGAUUUAAUUAAGGUUUUUAUUUUAAUGUUUUAAUAAGAUUUCUAUUUUAAUAUUUUUUUUUUGAAUUUCUAUGAUAUUUUUUUAUGAUUUCUUAAAAAGAUCUAUAAGAAUU
rnacentral:lncRNA from 1 species